rnacentral:rRNA from 1 species
CUCAUAGCGUAUAUUAAGUUGUUGCAGUUAGAACGCUCGUAGUCGGAUUUCGGGGCGGGUCGACCGGUCUGCCGAUGGGUACGCACUGGUCGACGCGUCCUUCCUUCCGGAGACCGUCUCACUCUUAACUGAGCGGAGGCGGGAGACGGAACGUUUACUUUGAAAAAAUCAGAGUGUUUCAAGCAGGCAGCUCGCUCUUGCAUGGAUUAGCAUGGGAUAAUGAAAUAGGACUUUGGUGCUAUUUUGUUGGUUUCGAACACCGAAGUAAUGAUGAGAAGGGACAGUCAGGGGCACUCGUAUUCCGCCGAGAGAGGUGAAAUUCUUAGACCAGCGGAAGACGAACCACUGCGAAAGCAUUUGCCAGGGAUGUUUUCACUGAUCAAGAACGAAAGUUAGGGGAUCGAAGACGAUCAGAUACCGUCGUAGUCUUAACCAUAAACCAUGCCGACUAGGGAUUGGAGGAUGUUCACUUUUGACUCCUUCAGCACCUUACGG